UACAGAGGUCUCAAGCGUUGUUCGGAAUCACUGGGCGUAAAGGGUGCGUAGGCGGCGGGGAAAGUCAGAUGUGAAAUCCGGAGGCUCAACCUCCGAAUUGCAUCCGAUACUCCCUCGCUAGAGAUUUGUAGAGGAGCUUGGAAUUCUCGGUGUAGCAGUGAAAUGCGUAGAUAUCGAGAAGAACGCUCGCAGCGAAGGCGAAGCUCUGGGCAAAUUCUGACGCUGAUGCACGAAGGCUAGGGGGGCAAACGGG
rnacentral:rRNA from 1 species